rnacentral:snRNA from 1 species
GUGCCCGCUUUGGCAGCACAUAUGCUAAAAUUGGAACGAUACAGAGAAGAUUAGCAUGGCCCCUGCGCAAGGACGACACGCAAAUUCAUGAAGCGUUCCCUAUUUUU